rnacentral:rRNA from 1 species
GACGAACGCUGGCGGCGUGCUUAACACAUGCAAGUCGAACGGAAAGGCCCUGCUUGCAGGGUGCUCGAGUGGCGAACGGGUGAGUAACACGUGUGUGAUCUGCCCCUUACUUUGGGAUAAGCCUGGGAAACUGUGUCUAAUACUGGAUAGGACCAUGCUGUAGGUGGUGUGGUGGAUAGAUUAGUUCCGGUAAGGGAUGAGCGCGCGGCCUAUCAGCUUGUUGUUGGGGUAAUGGCCUACCAAGGCGUCGACGGGUAGCCGGCCGGAGAGGGGGGACGGCCACAUUGGGACUGAGAUACGGCCCAGACUCCUACGGGAGGCAGCAGUGGGGAAGAUUGCACAAUGGGCGCAGGCCUGAUGCAGCGACGACGCGUGGGGGAUGACGGCCUUCGGGUUGUAAACUCCUUUCAGCCAUGACGAAGCCCUUGUGGUGACGGUAGUGGUAGAAGAAGCACCGGCUAACUACGUG